GACGGGCGCACAUGGGAGGGCGGCAAAUCGAUGGUGGCGCAGGUGAGGUUAGCUUGAGAUCUGAGACAUUAGCGAGUCUAUUUUUUCUUUUCUUUUUUCUUUCAGAGGUAAGCGUACAGUCGUCACAAGAGAUUAUUAAGAAGAUAAUACCUUGAGUGCAGCCGCGUAAUCUGAAACUUCAUAAGUCCAUCUGCUAAUGACUUUAAUUAUUACUAUGUUAGGGAGACUAUCAAGGAAUAUAUCAAAAGGUUGCAGCAGCAAGCUGCAGUGUUGUUGUGUGUUUAGUCAGUCUGAAAAACUGUAGAUGCUUGCAUUUUGAUGACUACUAAUGCUAUCUGCUUUGUCAAUCUGAAUGAUUCAUCAUGUGCAGCGAUAAAUAGAAGUUAACUGUGAGAUGUCAUAUUGCUAAAUUGUGGCAAUAAAAUAUUCAGAACAACCUGAGCUGAUUACGGGAAGCAUACUUGUUCUGUUUGCUUAAUACAUUAAUUUGGUUCUGCAUGCAACAGGGUCACAUGCAAGAUUACGGGAAGCAUAUAACCUGAGCUCUACGAGGGUAUGAGCUAACAGCACCUGAUCAAGUGGCUCAUUAGAAGGAAUACAUUAACAGUGCUGCACCCUUUUUUUGGCCAUAUAUACAUAGGUGCCAACAAUUUUUGGUUGUUGUAAUUCACAAGAAGGACUGACUCAUCGUACUAACAACAUGAUGCCACUAGUUAAUGCAAGUCUUAAUCUGUAGUAAUCGAUUUGCUUCAUGUUUUAGUUUUUACCUUAUCAAUAAACAGUGACACAAGUACUUCUGUACGUACUUUAUUUGAUUUAGCAUUCAGUUAUUCACUUUCAGUACAUCAACAUUCACUUAGUUAAUUUAAUUGUACUUUGUAUAGCCUUUGUGCACACUUCUAACUAUAUCUGUAUAGGUUAUCACGAUGAGUCAUCACAGGUAUGGAAACUUGACAGCAUUAGCUCCGGAAAGAUGCCUUCUACUCACAGUUGAACAAGUCUGCACUGAUACAAGGUAUUGCUAGGUGGACCUUGCCAGAGCAAUCAAGUAAAUUAGCAGAUUUCAACAGGAAAAGGGUUACUCACAGGCCUCAUAAGCAAUAUGAGGAACCCGGGAAGAAGUACAAGUUAGCUACAAAAGGUACUACACAAACAUAAAAAUAUUAUUCAAGUAUCUUCUACGGGAUGAUAUAAUGUGGUUGCUUUUUUUCAUAGAUGGAAAUGAUGCGCCAACAAAUACACCAAUCUUGUUUAGUACAAAAUGGGAUGCAGAUGAUUCCAAAAGUGCGUUUCUAAGAAUUAUGUAUUUUACCAAUAAUUGUUUCUACGCUUUAUUGUCUUCUAGUCACUCAUAACAUAUUGCAACUAUGAAUGAUGAAGUUGAUGCCAGCAAUGACGAUGACAUGGGAAAUGAUAUGAUGAAGUUCAUACAUUCAUUAUACUAUUAUACUUUGUGUCAAUUUAUUUAGAAGACUGACUUUCAUAAACUACUCAACAUUUUGUAGGACUGAUGGUCCACCAUAAUAUGUAGAAGCAACAGGAGGGAUAGCUGAUGAAGAAUGAUAUCCAUUCAAACAAUGGUGGUGUUCCUCAAGUGAAGAUUAAUAUUUUUUUCUUUUCUAGUUGUCUCAUUUUCCAGAUAGAUAUUAUCAAGUACAUUGGUUAUAUAAGGAAUGAUUUUGACUCCAUUUCUUAAAUGAUAUUUUAAUUCCAGAAUUGUAUGUCGGAAUAUUGGUAUGUCUAUUAAUAAAAGUGGCUAUGAUCUUUUCA
rnacentral:lncRNA from 1 species